ensembl:snRNA U1 U1 spliceosomal RNA
AUACUUACCUGGCAGGAGAGAUACAAUGAUCACGAAGGUGGUUUUCCUAGGGCGAGGCUUAUCCAUUGCACUCCAGAUGUGCUGACCCCUGCGAUUUCCCCAAAUGUGGGAAACUCAACUGCAUAAUUUGUGGUAGUGGGGGACUGCGUUCGCGCUCUCCCCUA